rnacentral:rRNA from 1 species
GUCGUAACAAGGUUUCCGUAGGUGAACCUGCGGAAGGAUCAUUACCUAGAGUUUGUAGACUUCGGUCUGCUACCUCUUACCCAUGUCUUUUGAGUACCUUCGUUUCCUCGGCGGGUCCGCCCGCCGAUUGGACAACAUUCAAACCCUUUGCAGUUGCAAUCAGCGUCUGAAAAAACAUAAUAGUUACAAUUUUCAACAACGGAUCUCUUGGUUCUGGCAUCGAUGAAGAACGCAGCGAAAUGCGAUAAGUAGUGUGAAUUGCAGAAUUCAGUGAAUCAUCGAAUCUUUGAACGCACAUUGCGCCCCUUGGUAUUCCAUAGGGCAUGCCUGUUCGAGCGUCAUUUGUACCUUCAAGCUCUGCUUGGUGUUGGGUGUUUGUCUCGCCUCUGCGUGUAGACUCGCCUUAAAACAAUUGGCAGCCGGCGUAUUGAUUUCGGAGCGCAGUACAUCUCGCGCUUUGCACUCAUAACGACGACGUCCAAAAGUACAUUUUUACACUCUUGACCUCGGAUCAGGUAGGGAUACCCGCUGAACUUAAGCAUAU